UACGAGGGGGGCAAAUGUUGUUCGGAAUCACUGGGCGUAAAGGGCGCGUAGGCGGCUUGAUAAGCGUGCGGUGAAAGCCCGGGGCUCAACCCCGGGUCGGCCGUGCGAACUGUCGAGCUGGAGCACUGUAGAGGCAGGUGGAAUUCCGGGUGUAGCGGUGGAAUGCGUAGAGAUCCGGAGGAACACCAGUGGCGAAAGCGGCCACCUGGACUGCACCUGACGCUGAAACGCGAAAGCUAGGGGAGCGAACGGG
rnacentral:rRNA from 1 species